GCCGGACUGAGUGGCCGCGGUCCGGAGAGUGCCGCGGUGCUCGGCUGGGCCAGGCCCGGGGCCCGGCGCGCCCAGCGCGGGUUGGAGCGGCCGCCGCCGCAGCGCCGCGCCGAACGCCCAGGCUUCAGGCCCCGGUGGCAGCCCAGGCCCGGCGGGCGGCUCCAGGUUCCCGCGGGCGGCGCCUAUCAGGCCCGCGGGCCGCGGCCCGCGAGGGGGCGUCGCAGCGGCUCCCGCUGAGGAGGAGCGCGAGACGGCAAUCGUGAAGGGAGGGGGGAAAAAAGGCAAAAGCAAAUAACGUUAGGCCCCGACGCGGCUCUCCCAGGCGGCUUCCUGUCAGCUGCGUAGCCGCGCGGCGCCCAGCCCCGUGCGGAUGCGCCGCGCCAAACGCGGCCACCGUCCCUGCCGCCUCCACAGGCCGCGGCCGUUGCCCCCGGAGCACUGGACUCGCUGCAGCCGCGGCCUCAGUCAAGACAUAACAACUGACGUCGGCAUCGGGGCGGGGUCUCGGGAGGGGCGGGGUUAGAAGCCGCAGGGUGCAAGGGGAGAGAGGGGCUGCCGAAGGCUGGGCUGGGUAAGUGGUUUAACCUGUAGGAAAGACGGACACACCAGUGAAAGUAGACGUGCUGGAUAAGGGCAGCAUAUGGACACACGCCCUCUGUUGGUACAUGUGGACGUCUUUCCAGGAGGGUAAUCUACGAUGUGAGUCAGAAGAUCCCCACAAAUAUGUCAUCUUUGGUACAGGAAGCCUUCCUUAGGGAAUUUAUCUUGAGGAAAUUAUUGGACACAGAUGCAAAGAUGUGUAUAACCUUUUUGCCUUAAGGGCAGAGUUAAUAGAAAGAAAAACUCACAGGUGGUGAUUAGUCUUCAUUGCUAAGUUUGGAAUCACCUAGGAACAAAAGUAGUGGUAUAGCUGUGAGGGAGAUUCCAAAGAGAUUUAACUGAAAAAAAGAAAACCCAUCUUGAAUGUGGCUCCAUUCCGUGGGCUGGGGUCUUGAAUGGAAUAAACAAGAAAAGAAAAAAAAAGGAGAAGGAGCAGCAGCAGCAGCCAGUUGAGCACCUGCAUUCAUCACUCUGCUUCUUGGCUGUGGACAUAAGGAAAGUUGCCACCUCAAGCUUCUGCCCCCAUGUUUUUCCCCACCAUGAUGGACUGUCUGUACCUCCUUCAACUGUGAGCCAAAAAAUUAAAUUAAAUUAAAUUAAAAAACAC